ACAGUUGGCGGCACGACGGUUGAUUCGUUCCCCACCACUGAAGACUGGGACAACGAGGAGUGGUCCGGCUCGCUCUCCGACACCAAGGUGUUCACUCCGAGUGUCAACGCUCAAAACAUCCCCAGCGAUGCAGAUGCAGGCACAUCACUCAACGCACAGGGCGCCGAGGAUUGGGAGGCGGGGUCGUCGAACGGGCCGGGCGAGCAUAUCCCCACAUACACGUACCACAACCCGCAGCACAAGGCGCCGCCCACCGCUGACGCGCCGCCAGCGCACCACUACCUCAAGUUAAACGAGCUGGCGGCGAGCGCGGGCGUGGCGGCCGGGCCGGGCGCCGCGGCCGACGCGCAGCUCGACUCCUUCCACGCCGCGCACCCGCCGCUCGCGCAGCACCAGCCGCACCACCAGGUA